AGUAGAAUUGCUGGGUCACAUGGUUACUCUGUUUAACUUUUUGAGGAAUUGCUAGACUGUUUUCCAAAGCCACUGCACCAUUUUACAUUCCCGACAGCAGU
rnacentral:pre_miRNA from 1 species